ensembl:snRNA U6 U6 spliceosomal RNA
GUACACUUGAGCAGUACAUACACUAAAAUUGGAACAAUGCAGAGAAGAUGAGCACGGCCCCUGCACAGGAUACCAUACAAAUUCAUGAAGCAUUCCAUCUUUUU